rnacentral:misc_RNA from 1 species
GAUGAAGAACGUAGCGAACUGCGAUAAGUAAUGUGAAUUGCAGAAUUCAGUGAAUCAUCGAGUCUUUGAACGCACAUUGCGCCCCCUGGCAUUCCGGGGGGCAUGCCUGUCCGAGCGUCAUUGCUGCCAUUCAAGCCCGGCUUGUGUGUUGGGUCGUCGUCCCCCCCGGGGGACGGGCCCGAAAGGCAGCGGCGACACCGCGUCCGGUCCUCGAGCGUAUGGGGCUUUGUCACCCGCUCGAUUAGGGCCGGCCGGGCGCCAGCCGGCGUCUCCAACCUUCUAUUUUACCAGGUUGACCUCGGAUCAGGUAGGGAUACCCGCUGAACUUAAGCAUAUCAAUAAGGAGGA